rnacentral:rRNA from 1 species
AUACGGAGGGUGCAAGCGUUACUCGGAAUCACUGGGCGUACAGCGCGCGCAGGCGGCCUGAUAAGUUGGAUGUGAAAGCCUACGGCUCAACUGUAGAACUGCAUCCAAAACUAUUAGACUAGAGUCUGGGAGGGGAAGAUGGAAUUAGUUGUGUAGGGGUAAAAUCCGUAGAGAUAACUAGGAAUACCAAAAGCGAAGGCGAUCUUCUGGAACAGUACUGACGCUGAGGCGCGAAAGCGUGGGGAGCAAACAGGAUUAGAUACCCCAGUAGUCC